CCCAAAGCUGGUUUGGCAGACGAUGCAUGAUCACAAUGCAGAGAGAAUGUCAAUUGGCUUAAAGAAAGAUUUAGCAUCAACCCCUGGAUUUCUUUUAAGGAUACAGAAGUACAGGAGAUGCUCAGCAAUCUGGCAAAGAAGGCUGGCUGGACAUGAAAUGUUAUGGGGGUUAUGUCUAGCUUUGGAUCCACUGAAUUCACAUAUUACAGAAAUCGGAUCAGAGCA